rnacentral:rRNA from 1 species
UAGACGGUGGGGUAACGCCCCCCCNUNCCAAUAAUCGGUACGGGUUGUGAGAGCAAGAGCCCGGAGACGGAAUUUGAGACAAGAUUCCGGGCCCUACGGGGCGCAGCAGGCGCGAAACCUUUACACUGCACGCCAGUGCGAUAGGGGGAUCCCAAGUGCGAGGGCAUAUUAGCCCUCGCUUUUGUGAACCGUAAGGCGGUUCACGAAUAAGAGCUGGGCAAGACCGGUGCCAGCCGCCGCGGUAAUACCGGCAGCUCGAGUGAUGACCGAUUUUAUUGGGCCUAAAGCGUCCGUAGCUGGCCGUACAAGUCCGUCGGGAAAUCUACCUGCCCAACAGGUAGGCGUCCGGCAGAAACUGUAUGGCUUGGAACCGGAAGGCGUGAAGGGUACGUCUGGGGUAGGAGUGAAAUCCUGUAAUCCCAGACGGACCACCGAUGGCGAAAGCACUUCACGAGGACGGAUUCGACAGUGAGGGACGAAAGCUAGGGUCUCGAACCGGAUUAGAUACCCGGGUAGUCCUAGCCGUAAACGAUGUCUGUUAGGUGUGACUCCCACUACGAGUGGGUGUUGUGCCGUAGGGAAGCCGCUAAACAGACCGCCUGGGAAGUACGUCCGCAAGGAUGAAACUUAAAGGAAUUGGCGGGGGAGCACUACAACCGGAGGAGCCUGCGGUUUAAUUGGAGUCAACGCCGGGAAGGGCGAAUUCCACAUU